UACGUAGGUGGCAAGCGUUGUCCGGAAUUACUGGGCGUAAAGAGUGUGUAGGCGGUGCUCCAAGUCUGGUGUGAAAUCUCCCGGCUCAACUGGGAGGGUGCGCUAGAAACUGGAAUGCUAGAGGAUGGGAGAGGUAAGCGGAAUUCCUGGUGUAGCGGUGAAAUGCGUAGAUAUCAGGAGGAACACCUGUGGUGUAGACAGCUUACUGGACCAUUUCUGACGCUGAGACACGAAAGCGUGGGUAGCAAACAGG
rnacentral:rRNA from 1 species